rnacentral:rRNA from 1 species
UACAGAGGGUGCGAGCGUUAAUCGGAAUUACUGGGCGUAAAGGGCGCGUAGGCGGUUAAUUAAGUUAGAUGUGAAAUCCCUGGGCUUAACCUAGGAACUGCAUCUAAUACUGGUUGACUAGAGUGCGGUAGAGGGUAGUGGAAUUUCCGGUGUAGCGGUGAAAUGCGUAGAUAUCGGAAGGAACACCAGUGGCGAAGGCGGCUACCUGGACUGACACUGACGCUGAGGCGCGAGAGCGUGGGGAGCAAACAGG